UACGGAGGAUGCGAGCGUUAUUCGGAUUUACUGGGUGUAAAGGGAGCGUAGACGGUAAUGUAAGUCUGAUGUGAAAGCCCGGGGCUCAACCCCGGGACUGCAUUGGAAACUAUGUAACUAGAGUACCGGAGAGGUAAGCGGAAUUCCUAGUGUAGCGGUGAAAUGCGUAGAUAUUAGGAGGAACACCAGUGGCGAAGGCGGCCUACUGGGCUUUAACUGACGCUGAAGCACGAAAGCGUGGGUAGCAAACAGG
rnacentral:rRNA from 1 species